rnacentral:rRNA from 1 species
UACGAAGGGGGCUAGCGUUGCUCGGAAUUACUGGGCGUAAAGGGCGCGUAGGCGGUUUCGUAAGUCCCGUGUGAAAGCCCCCGGCUCAACUGGGGAAUUGCACGGGAAACUGCGAGGCUUGAGUUUGGGAGAGGGAAGCGGAAUUCCGGGUGUAGCGGUGAAAUGCGUAGAUAUCCGGAGGAACACCGGUGGCGAAGGCGGCUUCCUGGACCGACACUGACGCUGAGGCGCGAAAGCUAGGGGAGCAAAUGGG